rnacentral:lncRNA from 1 species
GCUGCCGCGAGCAUGGACAACAUAAGAAUUCUUAUAUUAUCUAUGGCCGCGAAUCACGAUCGCCUCGUUCUUCGACGGCUCGACGCACAGAAAGUCAAAAAUUAUAUUCCAUACUCGCUUUCUACCUAUAUUUAUGUACAUUGUUAUAAACUGAUAUCUGUGCUCCGAUAAUUAUCCAUUAUUAACUAUCAUUUAGUUACGCAUCGCUGUUCAAUAGUAGUCACUGGAUACAAGUCAACAGGGGUGUGAUUGCGAUUCAACCAUAAACCCCGUACUUAGUGAUAUUUUAUAAUAUACAUCAUACAAGCACGAACCUCUGAUCAUUGUCGUCCAUGCGCAUCCAACAACUGAAGGUAACGACCACCAGCCUCGACUCUGGCCUCCAUCGUCUAGUGUUACGCAGACUCCUCGUCAGUCGCCAUGUCAAAUGAUCUGAACCGGCUUCAACUGCUGGAGAGUGUAUUCAACAGAGUGACUGAGUUUGCACGGACUGUACGCAGCAUACGGGCCACCAUCAGAGAGUGUGUUGAACUGCAUGAGAGACUGUUGGAGUCCAUCGGUCGCAUCCUGUCACUGUUGCAGCUCAUACGUGAUGGUCUCGUUGGACAUACAUCCGGACUGACAAAUGGACGGUCGAAGGGUUGACAGAUGGUUGAUACUAACCCAGGUCAAUCAUCAAUAUAAGUCUUCCAGAGAUCUCAAUCGAAUAACUAGAUACAAUGUUAAAAACUUUUUAACACCUAUAAAAUGUGCAGUCAAUAUUGUCUGAAGUGGCUUACACAGUUUUCAUAUUUUUUUUAUAAAAGUUUAAAUUCUAAGUGUUGUAAUAAAGUAUGUAAGACUGGUGAUGUUUAAUUCCUAAAAUUAAAAUAAUUAUUUAUGUUUAAAUGUGUUAAUUGAUUAUAAAAUAAUGUGUAAUA